rfam:Mustela putorius furo unplaced genomic scaffold scaffold00033, whole genome shotgun sequence.
AAUAUGGAUUUAUUUGAAUCCAUUUAAAAUAUUACAUAACAAAGUGU